GCAACCACACGUAGUGCAGCGAUACGCUCCUGCAGGUCACGAUCGUGAUUGAUCGUACACUUGGAUACAUUUAACCUGGUUACGUCGCGGGAAAUUGGAUCAUUUCGUUCGUAUAUGCACGUACACAGUGGAGAGGCAAAGUGGGAUCAACGAUCUACGAUGCAACAGGCUCGCGUCAGAUAUGAGGUAUCGCUGCAACUUUAGCUCAGCG